GUGGGGAAUAUUGGACAAUGGGCGCAAGCCUGAUCCAGCCAUGCCGCGUGAGUGAUGACGGCCUUAGGGUUGUAAAUCUCUUUCACCGAUGAAGAUAAUGACGGUAGUCGGAGAAGAAGCCCCGGCUAACUUCGUGCCAGCAGCCGCGGUAAUACGAAGGGGGCUAGCGUUGUUCGGAUUUACUGGGCAUAAAGCGCACGUAGGCGGAUCGUUAAGUCGGGGGUGAAAUCCUGGAGCUCAACUCCAGAACUGCCUUCGAUACUGGCGAUCUUGAGUCCGGAAGAGGUGAGUGGAACUCCUAGUGUAGAGGUGGAAUUCGUAGAUAUUAGGAAGAACACCAGUGGCGAAGGCGGCUCACUGGUCCGGUACUGACGCUGAGGUGCGAAAGCGUGGGGAGCAAACAGGAUUAGAUACCCGUGUAGUCC
rnacentral:rRNA from 1 species